GCCGGACUGGGCGGGCUGGCCGCGCGGCUGCCGCUCGUCCUCGGCUGACCGGCCCGCCGGAGGCUCGUGCUCGGGCGACGGGUCCGCCGC
rnacentral:tRNA from 1 species